rnacentral:rRNA from 1 species
UUCGACCUGAACUCAGGCAUGGUU